rnacentral:rRNA from 1 species
AUGGCCGCAUUGUUCACGACGAAGCUAGGGCGUCAGGCGUCCGGGUACCUGCAGGACAAGUACAAGCAGGCGAGGCUCGCCCUCGGCGACGUCACGCCGGCAGAGCUGGCUGUGCAGGAGGCGACCAACGACGACGCGUGCGUCCCGGACGCCAAGACGCUGGCGUCCAUCGCGGAGGCGGCCUUCGACAUCGACGACUACUGGCGGAUCGCCAACGUGCUCCACCGCCGCCUCGGCUGCGUCCACGACUGGAAGGAGUGGCGGCCCGUGUACAAGGCGCUCGUCGUCCUCGAGUUCCUCCUCACCCACGGCCCCGAGGAGCUCCCCGGGGACUUCCUCCCGGACAUGCAGGCCCUGCGCGACCUCCGCGGCUUCACCUACACCGACGACAAGGGCUUCGACUGGGGCGCCUCCAUGCAGCGCCGCGCCGACAGCGUCGUCGGCCUCCUCACCGACGCCGACCGCCUCAAGGACGCGCGCCAGAGGGUCCGCUCCCUCUCCUUCUCCCACGACGGCGGCAGCCCCACCUCCUCCGUCGCCUCCUCGGCCUCCUCGCGGGCCUCCCGCGGCACCUGGUCCUUCGCCUCCUCCUCGCCGCACUACUCCGAUAGCCCCACCUUCGUCUGCCUCUGCGGCCCUAAUGUCGACUACCGCCAUGACAAGAAGUUCGACGCCUACACCGCCGACGACAAGCGUGAUCUCGUCGACGACCAGGAGGUCGACGACUACCCGACUCCGCACAGCCAAGGAAGCUGGCUCGAGGAAUCCACCCCCUUGUCCGGCUCCCCGGUCAGCUGCGGCAGCGCCAGAAGCGCCGGCGGUGGCAGGAGGGCGUCCGGAUUCAAUAGCUUGUCUCAGCCUGAGAGAAGGAACAGCAGCAAGAAGCUCCAGCGCCAGCUUUCCUUGCACUAUUAA